rnacentral:tRNA from 1 species
GGGAUGGUGGCUCAGUGGUAGAGCACUUGCCUUGCAUGCAUGAGGCCCUGGGUUCGAUUCCUCAGUACCA